rnacentral:rRNA from 1 species
UACGGAGGAUGCAAGCGUUAUCCGGAAUGAUUGGGCGUAAAGGGUCCGCAGGUGGCCAUGUAAGUCUGCUGUCAAAGAAUGAGGCUUAACCUCAUCAAGGCAGUGGAAACUACAUAGCUAGAGUACGGUAGGGGUAGAGGGAAUUCCCAGUGUAGCGGUGAAAUGCGUAGAGAUUGGGAAGAACAUCGGUGGCGAAAGCGCUCUACUGGACCUCAUCUGACACUCAGGGACGAAAGCUAGGGGAGCGAAUGGG